UGUAAAUAUUAUUCUUGGAAUAAGGAAGCAAAACAACAUAUGAUUUUCACGUGAUCAUGGACGAUUCAGAGACAAGUCCGCUGAUUAACAGAAGACCUCAUUCAGUAAUUAAUCAAUCAAGUGAGGAAGAUGAAGAUGAUUCUGAAAAUAAACUUAAUUAUACAACAGAGAAGGUCCUCUCUGGGGAAUAUGAGAGUUUGGAUUAUGAUAAUUGUGAAAAUGAGUUAUAUGAAAUGGAGGAGAAAAAGAAGUCUGUCAGGGACAUUGUGGUGAUUGAGAUGUUAAGGUGGCUCGUUAUGCUUUUUGUUGGAGUUCUGACUGGACUGGUGGCCAGCCUGAUUGACUACUGUGUCAUCAAAUCUACAGAUCUCAAGUUCAGCAUCAUCAAAAAAUAUAUAGACAAAUGUGUGGAUGACCAAUGUAUGGAGAUCCCCCUGUUUGUCUGGGCAGGGAUCAAUGGGGGUCUGGUGUUUGUUGCAGCAGUUCUGACAGCCUGCUUUGAGCCUGUGGCAGCUGGGAGUGGGAUUCCCCAGAUUAAGUGUUACCUGAAUGGGGUCAAGGUACCACAUGUUGUUCGUUUGAAAACCAUUGUUGUGAAGGUCAUUGGGGUCAUAAGUUCAGUUGCAGGUGGACUCAUUAUAGGAAAGGAAGGACCAAUGAUACACUCUGGUGCAGUGAUAGCAGCUGGGAUCUCUCAAGGAAGAUCAGACACAUUCAGAAAAUUUGACUUAAGGAUAUUUGAAUUUUUCCGAGCUGACACAGAAAAACGAGACUUUGUGGCUGGAGGGGCUGCAGCUGGGGUGUCCGCUGCCUUUGGGGCCCCAGUGGGGGGAGUACUGUUCAGUCUGGAGGAGGGAGCGAGUUUCUGGAACCAAGCCUUAGCAUGGAGAAUAUUCUUUGCCUCCAUGAUGUCUACCUUUACCCUUAACGUCAUACAGAGCUACAUCAAAGGUCAUCCCUGGGACCUCUCUUAUCCAGGAUUGUUUAACUUUGGUAACUUUGAUACUACAUCAUAUUCAGCAUUUGAAAUUCCAAUUUUUAUAUUGAUGGGAGUAUUAGGUGGGCUUUUUGGUGCUUUAUUCAACCAGUUUAACUACAUUUUAACAAAAUUUAGGAGAAGGUAUAUAAAUAAAGGUAGAGACCGAGUGCUGGAGGCCAUGGUUGUAGCCAUCAUCACUGCUACAGUUGGCUUUGUGUCCCUGUACUUCAAUAAUAACUGUACUCCAAUGAUACAUGAUCAGGAUCCCAAUACUGUACAGUUUUACUGCAAUGAUGGUCAGUACAGUUCUACAGCCUCCAUCCUAUUCCAGUCACCUGAGGAUAGCGUCAAAAGUCUUUUUCAUGACCCCAAAGGGACUUAUGCACCAGCUACCCUCAUUGUGUACUGCCUGUGUGUGUUUUUGCUGGCCUGUUGGACUUACGGACUCUAUGUACCUAGUGGCCUCUUUAUACCUGGUCUUUUAAUCGGCGCUACCUGGGGACGGCUAGUGGGGAUCAGUCUCAAUUAUAUCUUCCCCGAUGCGGAAUGGGUAGAUUUUGGAAAGUAUUCUUUAAUAGGGGCAGCAGCACAACUAGGGGGUAUUGUACGUAUGACAAUAAGUCUUACAGUCAUCAUAAUGGAGGCUACAGGAAACAUCACAUUCGGUCUGCCUAUCAUGAUUGUUCUGAUAGUGGCUAAAUGGGUAGGGGACAUUUUCAAUGAGGGGAUCUACGACAUGCAUAUCCACAUACAGGGUGUGCCCAUCCUGGGGUGGGAACCGUCGUCAGUAUUAACAAACCUGUCAGCCAGAGAGGUGAUGAGUCAUCCUGUGUCUGUUUUCCGAAUGAGGGAGUCUGUUGGCAGAAUCAUGGAGGUUCUACAGAAUGAGAUGCACAAUGGAUUCCCUGUUGUGGAGAAUUUUGAUCCUGAUAUACAAAGUUCUUCAGAGGAAGAAGAAAUGUCAUUUGGAACCUACAGAGGGAUCAUUUUAAGAUCACAGUUACUAGUUCUUUUAAAGCAAAGGAUUUAUGGAGAUAAUCUAACUGCAAAAUUGACAACUAAGGAUUUUAGAGAUGCAUAUCCAAAGUUUACUCCUGUAAGACAAAUUCAUAUAUCCCAGUAUGAACGUGAACAUUUUGAAAUAAAUUUAGAGCCAUAUAUGAAUCCCGCCGCAUACUGUAUUACAGAUAAUUCUCUUUAUCCAAGGAUAUUUAAAUUGUUCAGAGCUCUUGGUCUUCGGCAUCUUGUGGUUGUUGACAAACAUCAUCAGGUUGUUGGUAUGGUGACAAGGAAGGAUCUUGCUAGAUACAAGGUCACACAGAAACUUUGGAAAGUCAGUAUGGAGGAACUGUUAAUUUCAACUAAAUGAUCUUUAUGUUGGAGGAACUGUUAAUUUCAAUUCCAUGAACUUCACCAUGAUGAUGGAAGAGCUAUUAUCUUCAACAUUGUGAUGGAGGAUUUGUUAUUUACAAGGUGAUGUCAGAUCUUCACUAUAGAGUGCUUUUCAGGGACAAAUUGUACUUAGAACUUCAUUGUUUGUUGAUAAAUUAACAUGUCAAAACUGACAUUUAAAAAUGUCAAACUGGUACAAUUUUGAACAAUUGCUUGUAUGUAUGUCUGUUUAGAUCUAGUCAAUUACAUUCCAUGACCUACGCAAAUACAGUGUUUAUCUCUAACUGUGAAUAUAUUGAACUGAUUUGGAAAUCCUAAUCACAUAUGCUUUAAGUUUUUUACCCUCAAUAUCUAAAAUUCUCUGAUAUUUCAAAGACUUACUGAAUCCCAUCAAGUUAAAAAAAAUGGGGUUUGACUGUAAAAA